AUCAAAUCUUUUAGUGAUCGUGUUUCAUGACGAGUGGCGCUGUCAGCAGUACAUUGUUGUAAAGUUACCUGAUGAUUCGGAAGUCUCGUUGCGAAAAACUCGAAACUUACCUGUUCCCGAAUGCUGUAACUCACUGAUAGUGCAACUUUCAUACCAAUUGUCGAAUAAACGAGAACAAAACUAAAGGUAGCAGAAUGAGGGAAGAAAAAAAAAAGGAAGAAGGUGAGAGAACGGGCACCGCGCCAUAAAUCGUCGUUUAACCUUAAAAAUCGUCGUUGCUAAUGGACAUUUGCUGUCGAACCUCGAGAAAUCGUUGCGCUCAUAGCCGCGAGAAUUCUUUCAACGACAUUGUGCGAAGUGCCGCUCGACAAAGGAAGAAUAAAGACUUGUGUCUUACUGAUUAUCCAGUUCGUGUACUAUACUAUACUACGGCUUUAGAUACAUUCGAGUCAACCCCGACGAGAUAAAGCGUUUGUUUUGCGCAUGCUUGCAUGAAAUGCGCUCAGGAUGCAGCAUACUUUGAGGAAGCUUGUUUUAUUCCAUAGAGCCUGAAGAUAAUCGAAAACCUCAAGGGGUCGAAUGAUCGGUCGAUCCUUUCGGUUCGCCAAAGUCGACAGGCAUAUCUGUUCGGGACAAAGUGCGGCACGAUCGUAAAUUAGCUGUACCGAUGACGUGUCGGAAGAUGGUUCCACGUGGACAAGGGGAUCGCCACAUGGCACGAGUCUAUGGGGCGGAGAAUGAAUGCGGUAUUCUUGGUAUAGUGAUAGCUUGGGUGGUGGCAUCGGAAGGCCGGUGUCAUCUGUUGCAUCGGUUACAUCCUGACUAGCAAAGCGUGACCGUGCUUGGUAACCGGCUACUAUAAAUGUGAUGUAGGGGAUUAAUUAUCUUCUAAUUGCCUAAUAGAACGUUGUCACUCGAAAUCGAUGGUUAAAAAUUGUUUUGUAACGAGCGAUCUUGUCAACAGGAAAUUUCUAAUUGUUAAAUCAUAUGAAGGAUAAAGUAUAACAAGAUCAUUUGUCACUUUAUUUAAAUUGUUUAAUAAAUUCUUUAAUAAAUUCUAAAUGUUAGAAUAAAUUUUGAAAACUA